ensembl:lincRNA 2310026L22Rik RIKEN cDNA 2310026L22 gene
ACUCUGGCAGGUGGAGAGGACUGAAAGUGUGUCUAAUUGGUUUCCGUAAUAAGCGCUUUGAUUGACCUGCAGUUGCGGUGCCAUGCAUGUACCAGGCCGAUACCCACAAGACUCCGGCUACUUGAGGCUCUCGUGCAUUCCAAGCUGGCCUCAGGUUGGUUACCUACCCAAAAUGGCCUUGAAAUUUCGAUCCUCUUGAUGCCACCUAUUGAGUCUGCGUCAUCACACUGGGCUCUAGGUGCUGGCGAUGGCACCCAGGGCUUUCUUCAGACUAGACACAUACUAACAACUAAACUACUUCUUCAGCCCCAAGAACUACAAUUUUCAAAGGCGGUGGUGUGCACAUUACAUGAAUAGGCAGAUCUCAACGUAAAGUGCCAAAUAAAAGGCGACUCCCUUC